UGGGGAAUAUUGCACAAUGGGGGAAACCCUGAUGCAGCGACGCCGCGUGAACGAAGAAGGUAUUCGUAUCGUAAAGUUCUGUCCUAUGGGAAGAUAAUGACAGUACCAUAGAAGAAAGCUCCGGCUAAAUACGUGCCAGCAGCCGCGGUAAUACGUAUGGAGCGAGCGUUGUCCGGAAUUAUUGGGCGUAAAGGGUACGCAGGCGGUUUAAUAAGUCGAAUGUUAAAGAUCGGGGCUCAACCCCGCAAAGCAUUGGAAACUGCUAAACUUGAGUAGUGGAGAGGAAAGUGGAAUUCCUAGUGUAGUGGUGAAAUACGUAGAUAUUAGGAGGAAUACCAGUAGCGAAGGCGACUUUCUGGACACAAACUGACGCUGAGGUACGAAAGCGUGGGGAGCAAACAGG
rnacentral:rRNA from 1 species